rnacentral:lncRNA from 10 species
CACACUCAAUUAUUCUACAAUAGAACACUGGAGAGAAAGAGAUGCAGGUGGGGAGGAAGGAGGCAGGAAUAAUGGGAAUAGGUGGAAGAGAAGGCGGAAGAUGUAUUUAUCCGGAUACAAUCAAAGAACCAUUUCAGAGGAAAAAGGAGAAUGUGAGGCUAUAAUGACAAAGCAGCCAUCUGCACACCAGGAAGGGGCACUCACCAGACAUCAGAGCUGCCGGCACCUUCACCUUGGACAUCCCAGCCUCCAGAACUGUAAAAAAUAAAUGUUUGUUGUUUAAGCCA